CUACGGGAGGCAGCAGUGGGGAAUUUUCCGCAAUGGGCGAAAGCCUGACGGAGCAAUACCGCGUGAGGGAAGAAGGCUCUUGGGUUGUAAACCUCUUUUCUUGGGGAAGAAAAAAAUGACGGUACCCAAGGAAUCAGCAUCGGCUAACUCCGUGCCAGCAGCCGCGGUAAU
rnacentral:rRNA from 1 species